rnacentral:lncRNA from 1 species
UGCAGAGACAGGGGAAAUAUGGAAACAUUUAAAGAAAGGAUGUGACUCACAGGAAGAGAGCCAAUCUGAAAAUUCAGAGAACACAGGGAGGAGACCAAGGAGAAAUCCAGAGUGAAAUGAAAUAACGGUUUGGGGAGCAGAUGGUGCAAUAUCUCAUUCUUAAAAGGACAAUGCCAACUCCUGAAGAUCUUGCUCUAAGUGGUCAAAGGGUGAGCAUACUGCAGGCAACAAAAGAUCGAGCAUACUACAGGCAACCAAGGGUCAAGACAAAUUUACAGGAUCCCUCCCUACCGUGGCCACUACCCAGCUUCCCAGUAGUGCCUUCCUAAUUUGCUGCCCAUGGUAAUGGAGACAAAUACCUGCAGAAGAACAUAAUCAAAACUCAAAGGAAAGUAAGGAGGAGCAAGUUUUUUAAAAGGAAUACAGUUUGCAAUCCUCUUGUUACUAAUUCUUGUUGAUAAUUGAUUUUGUGCUUAAAUCUCACAAGAAUAAACAGUUUUUAGCAAUG